UUGAUACGUGCCUCCUCCUGGGGGAUAGUGCGACCACUGAGCUGUGCCCGGGCUCUCCGGCUGGCACCGGGCAAUCCCACACCUACAGCCAGCCGAUGAAAGUACCGCAGGGUCAUACCCAGGAUUCAGAUUCCAGGCCAGGGAGCUGAUGGUCAGGUUGUUUGGCCUUCUGGGGUUCAGGACACAAGAUUGAUAGCUGCACGGGAUGGGCAGACAGGCCCCUGUCCAAGCGAUCAGCGACUUGGGGACCUCGACGGAUGGAUGGAAACAUUGACAGAGGAAGCCUGGAAGCAGCAGAGUGACAGAUGGCAGUGAGGGGCAGGCUGGCCGGGCUCUUCUGGUGCCGAACUGGGACUCAGGAGAUCGCGGUUUGAUUCCCAGCACGAAACUCCUUGUUCAGCUCAUGGUGUGGCUCUGUGCCUCAGUUUUCCCAUCUGUACAAUGAGGAGAACCCAGGAGUUCUGGCUCUCAACCUUCUU